CUACAGGCUUAACACAUGCAAGUCGAGGGGCAGCAUGGUCUUAGCUUGCUAAGGCCGAUGGCGACCGGCGCACGGGUGAGUAACACGUAUCCAACCUGCCGUCUACUCUUGGACAGCCUUCUGAAAGGAAGAUUAAUACAAGAUGGCAUCGUGAGUUCACAUGUUCACAUGAUUAAAGGUAUUCCGGUAGACGAUGGGGAUGCGUUCCAUUAGAUAGUAGGCGGGGUAACGGCCCACCUAGUCUUCGAUGGAUAGGGGUUCUGAGAGGAAGGUCCCCCACAUUGGAACUGAGACACGGUCCAAACUCCUACGGGAGGCAGCAGUGAGGAAUAUUGGUCAAUGGGCGAGAGCCAGAACCAGCCAAGUAGCGUGAAGGAUGACUGCCCUAUGGGUUGUAAACUUCUUUUAUAAAGGAAUAAAGUCGGGUAUGCAUACCCGUUUGCAUGUACUUUAUGAAUAAGGAUCGGCUAACUCCGUGCCAGCAGCCGCGGUAAUACGGAGGAUCCGAGCGUUAUCCGGAUUUAUUGGGUUUAAAGGGAGCGUAGAUGGAUGUUUAAGUCAGUUGUGAAAGUUUGCGGCUCAACCGUAAAAUUGCAGUUGAUACUGGAUAUCUUGAGUGCAGUUGAGGCAGGCGGAAUUCGUGGUGUAGCGGUGAAAUGCUUAGAUAUCACGAAGAACUCCGAUUGCGAAGGCAGCCUGCUAAGCUGCAACUGACAUUGAGGCUCGAAAGUGUGGGUAUCAAACAGGAUUAGAUACCCUGGUAGUCCACACGGUAAACGAUGAAUACUCGCUGUUUGCGAUAUACAGCAAGCGGCCAAGCGAAAGCGUUAAGUAUUCCACCUGGGGAGUACGCCGGCAACGGUGAAACUCAAAGGAAUUGACGGGGGCCCGCACAAGCGGAGGAACAUGUGGUUUAAUUCGAUGAUACGCGAGGAACCUUACCCGGGCUUAAAUUGCAGAUGAAUUACGGUGAAAGCCGUAAGCCGCAAGGCAUCUGUGAAGGUGCUGCAUGGUUGUCGUCAGCUCGUGCCGUGAGGUGUCGGCUUAAGUGCCAUAACGAGCGCAACCCUUGUUGUCAGUUACUAACAGGUUCCGCUGAGGACUCUGACAAGACUGCCAUCGUAAGAUGUGAGGAAGGUGGGGAUGACGUCAAAUCAGCACGGCCCUUACGUCCGGGGCUACACACGUGUUACAAUGGGGGGUACAGAGGGCCGCUACCACGCGAGCGGAUGCCAAUCCCAAAAACCUCUCUCAGUUCGGACUGGAGUCUGCAACCCGACUCCACGAAGCUGGAUUCGCUAGUAAUCGCGCAUCAGCCACGGCGCGGUGAAUACGUUCCCGGGCCUUGUACACACCGCCCGUCAAGCCAUGGGAGCCGGGGGUACCUGAAGUGCGUAACCGCGAGGAGCGCCCUAGGGUAAAACUGGUGACUGGG
rnacentral:rRNA from 1 species